rfam:Felis catus isolate Cinnamon breed Abyssinian chromosome A3, whole genome shotgun sequence.
GCCUGGGUGGCUCAGUCGGUUGAGCGUCCGACUUCGGCUCAGGUCACGAUCUUACGGUCCGUGGGUUCGAGCCCCGCGUCGGGCU